rnacentral:rRNA from 1 species
AUUCCAGCUCCAAUAGCGUAUAUUAAAGUUGUUGCGGUUAAAAAGCUCGUAGUUGGAUUUCUGCUAGGGACGAUCGGUCCACCCACUGGGUGUGUAUCUGUGUCGGCCUUGGCAUCUUCCUGGCGAACGCAACUGCACUUGACUGUGUGGUGCGGUAUCCAGGACUUUUACUUUGAGGAAAUUAGAGUGUUUCAAGCAGGCGCACGCCUUGAAUACAUUAGCAUGGAAUAAUAAGAUAGGACCUUGGUUCUAUUUUGUUGGUUUCUAGAGCUGAGGUAAUGAUUAAUAGGGAUAGUUGGGGGCAUUAGUACUUUGCUGUCAGAGGUGAAAUUCUCGGAUUUGCAAAAGACUAACUUAUGCGAAAGCAUUUGCCAAGGAUGUUUUCAUUA